rnacentral:piRNA from 1 species
UGGUGACAGUGACCCGCCGUGGUAUGC